AUUAAUUGUACCUGGUACGUGGUACUCUUGUAAGUCCCCCAUGUGUCCUCAGUACUGAAGUUUUCCCUAUCAUUCCUUUGUUUCCUUCUUUAGGCAUUUGCCCUGCUUUUCCCUUCCGGUUGUCCCAUAUAUCUCCACCCCCAAUUCAUCUAUAUUCAGCUAUUAUUUUCCCCAGUUUCACUCUGCUUUAAAAUUUAUUUCUCUCUUCUAGUCUUUCACUUUAUCUUGUCCUUAUCGCAUUGUGGUUCAAUUUGCUUUCUUGUGGUUGCUUUGACUAUUUUAGAUUUGUUUUAACAUUUGCACUCAAUGUGAUGCUCGAGAAUAUUGACAAGAAACUAUUCUUUUUGAAAGCCGGGUAUGCGGUCAGUUGCAAUUUUUCACUUUGUAAUGGUUAUGAAUUUGCUGGUGCGGUUAAAUAGUCUUUCCAUUAUUUUCAUUGACUGCAUUCCUUUAAGCAAUGAACAGUUUUCUUUUAUAAUGUAAUAGUUCCUAGCCUUGCAGCUUGAAGAUGUGUGAUUAUCUUUUUUUAAGCAAUCCUUUGAACAUCACAACAAUGAGCAAUAUUGCUUUACUAAGAUUCCUUCGAAUGGAGUUUGUACAACUUCCUGACAGAUGCUUCACAAUCUUAGUAUGAUAAAUUUCAAAACGUCCACCUUUAUCAGGGUAAUGAGUUAUAUCUGAAGGUUUUCUGGUCGUUCGCUUCCACUCAUUGUAUAAAUCUACGAAGGUGAGUCCAUCCCGGAACUAUAUGCAUUUACUUUGUAUUACCUUCUAUCUGAUUCUUAACUACUACAUUGGAUGUGAUGAUCUGAUGGAUAGGCAACUAUUAUAGUUGCUACAAGCAACUUUGCUUGAUGAUCUCGUUCUAAGAGAUUUGACUUUCUGGCUGUUAGGAUGACAAAUAUAAUGUUUGCAGCAAGUAUGAGUAGAUUUUGCAUCUGAAGUACAAUAGUUCUGCUAUAUAAAACAUAACUCACUCCAGGAAGCAGGUUUUGCAAAUGGAGUCAGCACUUUUAAAUUAGUUGCAGUUUGAAAUAGCGCCUCCAAAAGAUGCAUGUUUUCUAAGGUUAUUGCUAAUACUUUUUCUUCUACUUCAAUUCCUCCUAAUAGCCAAUUUUGAUGCUAAUACUUAGAAACAUAGUACAUGAGAGGUACCAUCAUGUAACCAAGAACUUAAUGAAGUAAUAAUACCUCACUACCAAGAUAUCACAUGUUGCUUCUAACAAAAAUAUUUGAAAUUCAUUCUACUGCAUGCUUCUUUGACAGGUUAGUGCCUGAGUUUUUUAUGUAGCUCUUUAGUUCCCUCAAUAAUAUCUUGUAUGCAGUUCUUUAGUUCCCUCAAUAAUAUCUUGUUGCAUAUAUAUUGCUUCUGCUAUCUAGAAGUAAGUUGAGUUUAGAUUUAGACCUUCAUCUCUAUAGAAUAAGUAAAGUUGUAUUAUGCACAAACUAAACACUAACACUAAUGUUUUUUAUUCUUUGAAUUCGUGCUACCAAUGGAUCUCUAGAAGGUGGAUGGUGUGGCAUGUUAUACUAUAUCAACGACUAGACUAUUUCAUUGUUUAAAGUUCAUGAUUUAGUUGGUAAUCUUUUUGAAAUUGACUGAACUAGGGAAUCGAUUCGUGAGAGUUGUUGUUAUCUCAUUAGUGCUACAGGUAUUGCUUUCUUAUCUGGAAUUGAAGCACUAAUUGAUGAAAUCUAUUUCUCAUCAAUUUUUAAACACAAUUGCUUCAAGUGAAAGAAUUAGUUACAACACUUUGAUCCAUGCAAAGGAAAUGUAACAACUAUCCUUUUCCCUAAUUUUUUAGAAUAACGUGAACAUUGAUCGUUAUAUGUUAGCAAGUUGAAUCAAAUUAAUUGAGUUGUGAUGUAGAUUAACUUUGAGGGUGGGAGUAGGAAGGUGAAUUCCCAAGGUGAUGAAAUUGAGCCUUGAGUUAGUCAUCAUAUUGAAGUAGUUUUUGCCUUCCCUUGGUGAUGAUCAUAAAAGAAUUUUAGGAAAGUUGGCACCCUUGGUGCGUGAUAGCUACAUAAUAUCAUUAGUUUCAUCCUUUUUAAAGAUACCAGUUUAUGACCAAAAUGGAAUUAAUUGUUCUAUUAUGUGGCCCUUAAUUAGGAUUAUUGUGUUUCUCAUGUUAGUGUAGACAAGAUUGUACAUUAUUAGCUCCUCAAAAGGCUUAAAACAUCGUAGAGGCCCUUUACAAUGACUUGAGAAAGGAAGGCAAGAUGUUACAUCCUUGUUCUUGUUACUAUCUCUUCUUGAAUAAGUCUCAAUCUUAUGUUCUUCGAUUGCUUUCUUUUAUGCCUGAGUACCUAAGUAGGAAAUGACUCAAAGUUGACCAAUUAAUUUGUUAAACUUAUGGUAAGAGCCAUAAGAACAAGAGGAACCGCACCCCCUCAAACUUUUUAAAUGGUCCUGGCUUGGGGGAUUACAUCCAGUUAUUCCAAAUUUAUGAGGAACUUUGUCUAUCAAUGUUAAAAAUAGAGGUUGGAAAAGUUUGAGGGAACUGUAGUGGAAUUUUUUGGCCUAAGCUGUAAGUAAUUCAAUUUAUUUCCUUGCAUUACUGAUUCAAUCAGCCAACUUAGUAGAAAGACCAUUUCAUACAAAGCUGUCACGAUCCAAUUUCGCUAAGUCGUGCGGGCAUCUACCUUUCCCACCUCGCUAGGAGAACUCUUAUCCCAUCAAUCUUAGAAACAUGAAAUAAUAAGUAAAUAAGCGGAAGAGAUGAAAAUACGUAAGUCUGAUAGAAUAAUAGAUAAAUAAUGCGGAGAUACAUCAAAACCACCCCAGAAUCUGUCUAGUCAUACAAGAGCAGCUAACUAGAAUCUAUAAGUUUGGAGGUAAUAAUAGUACAUCAAUAGUCUCAAUAUGUCUCAGAAUAUCAAGUAACACAUAAAUAAAAGAAGAAUCUUCAAGGCGGCGAACGUCCUCGCGCUCACCCUGUAAGACUCUAAACAGCAACCCUCGAACUACUAUCAGUCAAGAGGAGUGGAGGUCAAACCCACCUAGAACUUUGCAUUCAUAAAAGAAUGCAGCAAGUGUAGGUCAAUACAAACAACAAGUACUGGUAGGUAUCAUAGGCCGACUAAGAUUAACUAACAUAUAUCAAUGCAAUAAAGUAAAAUAAACAAGUAAAUCAACAAGGUAUAAGUCAAUCACGAGCCAGUAACUAAGUACACGUCAUCCCCUAUGUUAUAGCAUCUAAACCCAAAUGUCCCAAGUCUCACUUUAUUCAAUCUGAAUCCGUAUAUCACAAGUACAUCACAAGAAUAUCACAAUAGAAGCCAUAGCACAAUGCAAUGCAAUAAUGUAUGAAGUGUGAAUGUAAUGUAUAUGCACCGUACACAUGUACUCCGAUGAUGGAACAUCACAUCUCGACGACACAACCCAUGGGGGACCCGCGAAGUUCAUGUACCCUCACGAUUCCGGCAACAACCUCGGCUCGUUACCAACACUCAUACCUCGAUUCCGGGAUAAAUAUCGGACAUCGGUCCUCACGUCACUCUCAUCCAACUGAGCCCAGAUCAUAACAGUGUUUCUUUGUAUAUCAUUAAUGUAUCAACAGCAUAUCAUGAAGGAUGAGAAUGCGUGCAAUGUAUGAGUUUAAUGUCAAUAAUCAAAUCAGUAUCAAAAGUACCACACAUGGGCACAUCAACAAUAUCAUUAAAAGGCUACACAAUAAGCCAUAAUAGAAUAACUAUCCUCGUCUCAAACAACAACAAGUAAAGGGCUACAAUAUCAUAAUCAAGAUAUAUCAAUAGUCACCAAUAUCUAUGAUCUCCACGUGGCAUCGAGUCAAUAACAAUAGAACAAGAUAAGUCACAAUACAACGGGGUGGCUAACCCCCAAAUCACACAACAAGGCCCAACCUAAGACAAUAUCUAACUUAAUUUCAUACCUGAAGGUUUGCAUGCAUUCUUCGACAAUAUCGUCUAGAUAUAUGUUUCGCUAAAGGAAGUCUCCCCAUAGGGUAAACCAUAACCUACCUGGAAAGCCGAACAACCAAGUCUCCACAAUCACACCUUAGUCUAUCCUUUCCUUUGAGCCUCGAGGUAAUGAAAGUCUAAGCAUAUUCGAAUCAUGAAAUUAGAAUCAAGAAGAACAUCAAUUAACCCCUACUUCUAUUCAAGACCCAAAUUCUCAACCUAUGGAAUGGGUUUUAUGAACCAGAAGGGUGAAAUAGGAAAUCUAAAGGUUCCAACAUGAAAUUAAAGCUCAAGGUUGUCAAUUCCCAAAAAUAUCGAGCUAGAAUAACCAACAAUUUACUCAAAUUAGGGUUCUAGGCAAAACCCCCAAAUUUGGGUAUAAACCCUAACUUCCAAUCCCAUAAUUUAGCCAUUAAUUUGGAAGAAAUUAUGCAAUAAAAGAUUCUAAUCAUAAAUUUCAUGCUUAAAGAAGCUAAUCCAACCAAUAAAUCAAGAUUACAAAGCCUAGAAAGAGAACUCAUUGAACCCUCUUUCAAUUAUUAAGCUCUUAGUGAACUAGCACGAUAAUUGAAUCCUAAGGUGAUAAUGAAAUCAUAGAAUAGGAAAGAAGAUAGAACGACUUACCACCAAGAUUUUCCCCCAAGAAUUGCCUUGAACAGCUCCCAAUAACUCAGUUUUCGGAAUAAUAAUGAAUGAAAGACUUGGGGCUUUUAACACUUCAUUUAAUGAAAUUAAAUACCCGUCACCCACUUCCGCGACCAUUAUACUGCUUCAGCGGCACCGCUUCGGCAGUCCUGCCCAAAUCACAUAGGCUGCUUCAGCGACAAGGUCACCGCUAAAGUGGUACAUCUUCCGCAGUACUGGUACCGCCAAAGCGGGCACCAAAUAGCAGAAAUUCCAAGCUUUUCACACUCUCAACCCGAAUUUUUGACUAUCUCCCAAGGCCAUCUGCUCACAUACCAAAUAUGCAGACAUACGUAAAAACACGCUACGAACGCACACGUGGCCUCGGAAUUUCCAACGGAAGUCUCUUUGACCGAGUCAACCUCGAUACCUGAACAUCAACUUCCCAACCCAAGUCCUGAAAUGCACCUGACUGCAUUGGGAACCGAACCAAAUAAACAAACAAGUUCUAAAGACCAUUCGGACCUCUCGGAAUUGAUGAAUUCUUGAAAAAAGUCUAUUUGCCCAAAAUCCAACUUUGAGUCAACUCUUUUUUGCUUAAAGCCCAUUUUUCCCAAAAAGUCACCCAAAUCACAUCUAACCACCUCGGGAGGGGUGUCAACGGUCCCCUCGGGUCAAACGGGUCAAAUAUGAGCUAAACAAGCUCGGGAAAGGUCAAAAGUGCCGAAAGACUAUAAUGACCAAACGGGUCGUUACGAUAGCAUUCUGCUAAUAAAUUGAAUGUAGCAUCCUUUUUAUGGUAAUGAGAUAUUUAUUUUCCAUUCAAGGUUAGCCAAUAUAGUUUUCUUGUGAUCCUCAAGCUUUUGGAUGAAUUGGAAGCAAUUUGCGGAGAUGUCAAAAAGAAACUACAUGAUCAUGCAUUUCAUGAAAUUCUCUCUGGUAAUUGGGUUUUGUGUUUCUUAAUAGCCUAUGUGUCACCAUGCUCAUAUUUGUAUUAGUUUGAGGUUGUGUGUGGAUACUACUAUGAUUUGUCAUACUAGGAAAGCGACUGUUCUCUACCCUCGGGUUGCACUUUUCAUUUGUGGCUUGGUCAGCAUCCUAACAUCAAUUCUUGGUCUAACUAACUAUUAUAGAAACAAGAAAUUUUGGCUAUAUUUGUCAUUCUAACCAAAAAUUAGUUUCUUAUUUUUUCUUCUAUGUAGUGUAUGAAAUAUGAAGCAACUAAAUAAUAUUUUCAGCGAAGAAGAUGUGAUGUAGGAGAGGACCCUAAAUACUUUCAUUGUUUAGCACCAGUUUAUAAAAAUUUAGUUCUCUAAGUAAUUUUUGUUCCUUCAC